rnacentral:rRNA from 1 species
GGAGUCUGGGCCGUGUCUCAGUCCCAAUGUGGCCGUUCAACCUCUCAGUCCGGCUACUGAUCGUCGACUUGGUGAGCCAUUACCCCACCAACAAUCUAAUCAGACGCGAGCCCAUCUUGCAGCGAUAAAUCUUUGAUAUGAAAGCCAUGCGACAAUCAUAUAUUAUGCGGUAUUAGCGAUCGUUUCCAACCGUUAUCCCGCUCUGCAAGGCAGGUUGCUCACGUGUUACUCACCCGUCCGCCACUAAGAAAUGAGCUUUUCAUCCCGAAAGAAUCAAAACCCACUCUCCGUUCGACUUGCAUGUGUUAGGCGCGCCGCCAGCGUUCGUC